rnacentral:lncRNA from 1 species
AUGUGGUUUUUGUCUUUGGUUCUGUUUAUAUGCUGGAUUACGUUUAUUGAUUUUCGUACGUUGAACCAGCCUUGCAUCCCAGGGAUGAAGCCCACUUGAUCAUGCUGGAUAAGUGCUCUUGCUUCUCUAGUUCUUUUAAUUGUGAUGUUAGGGUGUCAAUUUUAGAUCUUUCCUGCUUUCUCUUGUGGGCAUUUAGUGCUAUAAAUUUCCCUCUACACACUGCUUUGAACGUGUCCCAGAGAUUCUGGUAUGUUGUGUCCUUGUUCUCGUUGGUUUCAAAGAACAUCUUUAUUUCUGCCUUCAUUUUGUUAUGUACCCAGUAGUCAUUCAAGAGCAGGUUGUUCAGUUUCCAUGUAGUUGAGUGGUUUUGAGUGAGUUUCUUAAUCCUGAGUUCUAGUUCGAUUCACUGUGGUCUGAGAGACAGUUUGUUAUAACUUCUGUUCUUUUACAUUUGCUGAGGAGUGCUUUACUUCCAACUAUGUGGUCAAUUUUGGAGUAGGUGUGGUGUGGUGCUGAAAAGAAUGUAUAGUCUGUUGAUUUGGGGUGGAGAAUUCUGUAGAUGUCUAUU